rnacentral:lncRNA from 1 species
GGAUGACAUUGCAGAUUUCCACAUACAAUGCAGGCGACUCUGAUGCUUUUACAGGUGAAUUUUCCAAAUGGGGAUAGCAAAUGUGCCAGGGACAGCAUCCCUGAAGCACAUGAGGAUAUAUAACUGCUCAGUAAUUGCAGUUUUCAUUUGAGUAAAUUAAAUAGCGAUGAAAACAAAAGCCAUGUCCUAUUUCUGCAGUGUCUCAGAAAUCUAGGCUCAGGCUGGUGGCAGAGGUUGGAGGCUGUCAGAGAGCUAAGAGGCCUCCUGGGGACAUGGCACUUGGCCUCCUUGCCUCCCCCAAUUGCCUCCCAUUUCACUUUUCUUUUCUCCUCCCCUAAAACCUCAGGGGGGAUCUUAACAAAGGGAAAAGACUCCCAACAGACCAUGUUUCUCUGCAGGGGUGGCCAUGCUGACUUUCGACAAGCCUUCAUUCUAAUGUGGCUGCUCAUCUGCUCUGAGGACAUCACAUCUACUGGAGCUAGAAACAAAUGAAAAUAGCGUGGAAAAGCUGCCAUCACAAGACAGGUCAUCACAAGACUGCUGUUUGCUCUUUCCACUGUUCAUUGCAUCCUCUUCAGGGUCAAGAAGAAGUCACCUGCCAAGGGAACAGUAGGAGAUGGAGAUGCAUUGUAUUGGUGGAGCUGUGAAGGUGGAGGUGCCUGGUACACCUUGACACAGUGACCUUGGAAGACAAGUAGCCUGGUCUCUUUUGCAUAUUGUGUUCUGAGUUCCAGAUUCAAGUACUUCCAACUGCUUCCUUGUCAUCUCCACUUGGUGAUGGAAUGAGCAGUCCAAACUUUCAUAUACUCAAUGAUAAACUCUUGACACUGUUUGGGUUUUAAGUUUAUUUUUGGAAGGGGACCCAGGGAACAAUAGUGAGGGACUAGGAAGAGUAAAAUGGAAAGAGGAAAAUCCAUUCCAAGGAACUAUGGUAGAGCUGGUUACUGCUGUGGAUACCUGGGGGCUUAGUUCCAAUGGGUGUUCUUUUAAAAGAUACACACGUUGAGCCUCAGAAUUAUCCACCUGCUCUAAACCCUCAUUGGUCAAAAACUGCCCCUGAGGUGUUAACUUCCUUGGUCUUCCAGGCUUACACAGGGACCUGAAUGGCUGAGUGAGCUUCUGGAAGAGUCCCAUGGAAAGGCUAAGAAACUCUGGGGCAAAAGGCAAGAAAUGCAAGGUGCAGCUGAGGCCACGGUGCUGCCAGGCUUCACCCACUGCAGCUUGUUGCCACAGCAACUGCUGGAACAAAAAGGUGGGUGGUGAGGAUGUGAGAGGGUGCAAUACCUGGGAGUCAUCCUUGACUCUGCACUUUCUCUUUACCACUCAUCAGUAACUUCUAUUGACUCUGCUGAUAGGUCUCCCACUUCAUCCUUGUUUCCCUUCUCUUUCCCCCACUACACAUCCAUGCAUAUGCACAUGCAGCAGCUAGACUAAACCUUUAAAAACUCAUGUUUUUUCUCCUCUCAAACCCCAAUGGCCACUCAUCUCACUCAGAAUAAAAUCUAAAAUCCUGUCCAGGAUCUAGAAAACUUGCAUGUUUUGGACCUUUGCUCCCUUUUUGCUAUGGUUUCAAUGUCUUUGCCUCCUCCAAGAUUCAUGUUGAAACUUAAUCCCCAAGACAACAGUAUUAAGUGAUGUGGCCUUUAGGAAGUGAUUCGGCCAUAAGGGCUCCAACCUCAUGAAUGUAUUUGUGCCCCAUGAAAGGGCAUUGAGGGGGUGAGUUUGCCCCUUCUGUCUCUUUUCGCAUGUGAGGACAUAGCAUUCAUGCUUCCAGAGGAUGCAGUGUUCAAGGUACCAUCCUGGAGGCAGAGACUGGGUCCUCAGCAAACAUCGAACUGCUGAUGCCUUGAUCUUGGACUUUCCAGCCUCCAGAGCUGUGAGAAGUAAAUAUUUGUUAUUUAUAAAUUACCCAGGCUCAGCUCUGUUAUAGUAACACAAGCAGAGUUUCUGAUCUCAUCUUAUGCUUCUUUUCCUCUCUCUCUCUCUUCUCCAGCAACUCUGGCCUCUUUGCUGUCUUCAGAUUGCCAGGCAUAUUUCAAGAUCUUUGCAUUUGCUAUUCCCUCUUCCCAGAAUGUGAUUCCUUCAGAUAGUCAUAUGGUUCAGCCCCUCAUCUCAUUCAAGUCUCUGCCAGAUCUCACCUCAUCUAGAAGUUCUUUUCCGAUCAUCGUAUCUAAAAUAGUACAUUUUCAUCCAUCCAUCCAUUUCCUUUCCCUUAUUUCUCUUCCUAUCUAAAAUAUUAUAGAUGUAUUCGUUUGCUUUUGUCCUCUUUUCUCUCAUCUGAAUGUUAGUUUGCGACAGCGGGGGUUUUGUUUACUGACAUAUCUCCAGCGCCUAGAAUAGUGCUUAGCAUACAGGGCAAGACUCUACUCAACAAGAAUCUGCCAGAGGGCAGGGUCACACAUCAAUCUAAUCAGAUACUCUUUUGUGAAUACACAGAGAAGAUGUCAGUGGAAGAGCAGAUGGUCCCAGAGCUUGGCGUGUAUCCUGAAGGAUUCUGUGCUCUUGAUCUUGUCCUCCAUUCUUCACAUUUUGCAGUGCAGGGGCCAAGAUGUCAGCAUGGCUAAGAAGAUGGCAGUCAUGGCCACCUCAAGUCCAGCAUCCCUGCCUACUCUUGGUGGUAUCAGCGAGGUUCCUGCAGCCAGGGCCAAGAACAUGGGAUUCAGAGAAAACUGCCUUUAUACUCCAGGAUGUCUGUUAACAUUGAGUGUGACCUUGAACAAGUUGCUUAAUCUUUUUGAACCCCUGUUUCAUUGACUAUAAAAUGAAG